rnacentral:rRNA from 1 species
UGUGUGUCGUAGUUAACGCGUUAAACAGGGCGCCUGGGAAGUACGGCCGCAAGGCUAAAACCCAAAGGAAUUGACGGGGACCCGCACAAGCAGUGGAGCGCCUGGUUUAAUUCGAUGGUCAGCGAAGAACCUCACCUAGGCUUGAACUGUAGCUGCACACUCCCAGAAACGGGAGAAUCCUUCGAGGGUGCUACAGAGGUGCUGCAUGGCUGUCGUCAGCUCGUGUCGUGAGAUGUAGGGUUAAGUCCCACAACGAGCGCAACCCCUAUUCAGUGUUAUAAUUACUCUGAAGACUGCCCUGUCCAAACGGGGAGGAAGGAGGGGACGACGUCCAGUCAUCAUGUCCCUUAUGUCUAGGGCUACACAGACGCUACAAUGGCCGGUACAAUGGGUUGCCAAACCGCGAGGUGGAGCCAAUCCCAUCAAAGCCGGUCCCAGUUCGGAUUGCAGUCUGCAACUCGACUGCAUGAAGUUGGAAUUGCUAGCAAUCGCGAAUCAGCACGUCGCGGUGAAUACGUUCUCGGGUCUUGUACACACCGCCCGUCAGGGCACGGGAGUCGCUCUUGCUCGAAGUUCCCGAAUAAUUCGGGACCGAAAGUUAAGGGUGGCAACCAGGCUUAAGUCGUAACAAGGUAACCAAGGGCGAA